GCCCGUGUAACUCAGGGGUAGAGUACCUCCUUGGUAAGGAGGAAGUCGCGAGUUCAAAUCUCGCCACGGGCU
rnacentral:tRNA from 13 species